UGGGGAAUUUUGGACAAUGGGCGCAAGCCUGAUCCAGCCAUGCCGCGUGCGGGAAGAAGGCCUUCGGGUUGUAAACCGCUUUUGUCAGGGAAGAAAUCUUCUGAGUUAAUACCUCGGGAGGAUGACGGUACCUGAAGAAUAAGCACCGGCUAACUACGUGCCAGCAGCCGCGGUAAUACGUAGGGUGCAAGCGUUAAUCGGAAUUACUGGGCGUAAAGCGUGCGCAGGCGGUUUUGUAAGACAGAGGUGAAAUCCCCGAGCUCAACCUGGGAACUGCCUUUGUGACUGCAAGGCUUGAGUGCGGCAGAGGGGGGAUGGAAUUCCGCGUGUAGCAGUGAAAUGCGUAGAUAUGCGGAGGAACACCGAUGGCGAAGGCAAUCCCCUGGGCCUGCACUGACGCUCAUGCACGAAAAGCGUGGGGAGCAAAACAGGAUUAGAUACCCCUGGUAGUCCACGCCCUAAAACGAUGUCAACUGGUUGUUGGGAAGGUUCCUUCUCAGUAACGUAGCUAACGCGUGAAGUUGACCGCCUGGGGAGUACGGCCGCAAGGUUG
rnacentral:rRNA from 1 species